AGUGAACGCUGGCGGUAGGCCUAACACAUGCAAGUCGAACGGCAGCACAGUAAGAGCUUGCUCUUACGGGUGGCGAGUGGCGGACGGGUGAGGAAUACAUCGGAAUCUACUUUUUCGCGGGGGAUAACGUAGGGAAACUUACGCUAAUACCGCAUACGACCUACGGGUGAAAGCAGGGGAUCUUCGGACCUUGCGCGAUUGAAUGAGCCGAUGUCGGAUUAGCUAGUUGGCGGGGUAAAGGCCCACCAAGGCGACGAUCCGUAGCUGGUCUGAGAGGAUGAUCAGCCACACUGGAACUGAGACACGGUCCAGACUCCUACGGGAGGCAGCAGUGGGGAAUAUUGGACAAGGGGCGAAAGCCUGAUCCAGCCACACCGCGUGGGUGAAGAAGGCCUUCGUGUUGUAAAGCCCUUUUGUUGGGAAAGAAAAGCAGCAGGUUAAAACCCCGCUGUUCGGACGGUACCCAAAGAAUAAGCACCGGCUAACUUCGU
rnacentral:rRNA from 1 species